UUGCUUUGGCAGCACCUAUACUAAAAUCUUGACUGAUACAGAGAUGAUUAACAUGGCCCCUGUGCAAGGGUAACAUACAAAUUGGAAAAGGAUUCCAUAUUUUU